rnacentral:rRNA from 1 species
ACUCCUGCGGGAGGCAACAGUGGGGAAUAUUGGACAAUGGGCGCAAGCCUGAUCCAGCCAUGCCGCGUGAGUGAUGAAGGCCCUAGGGUUGUAAAGCUCUUUCACCGGUGAAGAUAAUGACGGUAACCGGAGAAGAAGCCCCGGCUAACUUCGUGCCAGCAGCCGCGGUAAUACGAAGGGGGCUAGCGUUGUUCGGAUUUACUGGGCGUAAAGCGCACGUAGGCGGACUAUUAAGUCAGGGGUGAAAUCCCGGGGCUCAACCCCGGAACUGCCUUUGAUACUGGUAGUCUUGAGUUCGAGAGAGGUGAGUGGAAUUCCGAGUGUAGAGGUGAAAUUCGUAGAUAUUCGGAGGAACACCAGUGGCGAAGGCGGCUCACUGGCUCGAUACUGACGCUGAGGUGCGAAAGCGUGGGGAGCAAACAGGAUUAGAUACCCCUGUAGUCC